UAAACCUGGUUGAUCCUGCCAGUAGUCAUAUGCUUGUCUCAAAGACUAAGCCAUGCAUGUCUAAGUAUAAAUAACUACACAGUAAAACUGCGAAUGGCUCAUUAAAACAGUUAUAGUUUAUUUGAUACAUUAAAUGGAUAACUGUAGAAAAACUAGAGCUAAUACAUGCCAAAACCGCAAGGUUGUAUUUAUUA
rnacentral:rRNA from 1 species